UAAAUCAGUAGAGGCGCGCUGCCUAAGAGUAACCGAGCAGAGGGUGAUACCUGUGAAGCCGGAGAAAGGAGUCAGCGCCGAAGUGACUGCAGCUAUCAACUCAGUCGCUGGGUCUGUGUCGAAUAGGCACAGAACUGCCAUAGUAUUUACCUAUGGAGCGCUACCUGAAGG
rnacentral:ncRNA from 2 species